UACGGAGGGUGCAAACGUUGCUCGGAAUCAUUGGGCGUAAAGCGCACGUAGGCGGCCUGAUAAGUCGGGUGUGAAAGCCCUGGGCUCAACCCAGGAAGUGCACUCGAAACUGUCAGGCUUGAAUAUGGAAGAGGGUCGCGGAAUUCCCGGUGUAGAGGUGAAAUUCGUAGAUAUCGGGGAGGAACACCAGUGGCGAAGGCGGCGACCUGGGCCAAUAUUGACGCUGAGGUGCGAAAGCGUGGGGAGCAAACAGG
rnacentral:rRNA from 1 species